AUAAACUCACAAUUCAUCGGAUCCCAACAAACACACCGCAAAAGAAAGAGUUACAUCAUAUGGAUCUCCAAGAGACCAUUGUAUUGAGAAACAACACGAGAUAGCCAUCUAGCUACUACUUACAGACUUGUAGGUCCGAUAUGAACUAGUCACGCAUCAUCGGAGGAAUACCAAUGAGGAUGGUGAACCCCUUCGUGAUCGUGUUCCUCUCCGGAACGGGCUCUAGACUGGACUUCAUGGCUUUUGGAGCUUGCAGCGACUAAAAUGAUUUUUCGUUGACUCUCCUAGGGUUUUAUGAAUAUUGGGGUAUUUUUAGAGCUCAGAGUUAGUGGAGGAGGUGCCUAGGGGACCCACU
rnacentral:lncRNA from 1 species